GAUGAAGAACGUAGCGAAAUGCGAUACUUGGUGUGAAUUGCAGAAUCCCGUGAACCAUCGAGUCUUUGAACGCAAGUUGCGCCUCAAGCCAUUAGGUUGAGGGCACGUCUGCCUGGGCGUCACAUAUCGUUGCCUGAUGCCAGUUUCCUCGUGAUGGGUGACUGUGCAGGGCGAAUGAUGGCUUCCCGUGAGCAUUGUUGCCUCAUGGUUGGUUGAAAAUUGAGUCCUUGGUAGGGAGCGCCGUGAUAGAUGGUGGUUGAGUGACGAACGAGACCCAAUCAUGUGAGACCCCUACCGAAUUUGGCCUUCAUGACCCACAUGCGUCUUUGGAACGCUCAUGACGAGACCUCAGGUCAGGCGGGGCUACCCGCUGAGUGUAAGCAUAUCAAUAAGCGGAGGA
rnacentral:misc_RNA from 1 species